UUAGCAGGCGGUGAGGAAACCUUCGGGGCUGAGGGAGGGGGCUGUGGCCCAUCAGCUAGUUGGUAGGGUAACGGCCUACCAAGGCGAAGACGGGUAGGGGGCCUGAGAGGGUGACCCCCCACACGGGCACUGAGACACGGGCCCGACUUCUACGGAAGGCAGCAGUGAGGGAUAUUGCCCAAUGGACGGAAGUCUGAGGCAGCAACGCCGCGUGCGGGAUGAAGGCCUUCGGGUUGUAAACCGCUUUUCUGCGCGAAGAGGAAGGACGGUAGCGCAGGAAGAAGUCUCGGCUAACUACGUGCCAGCAGCCGCGGUAAAACGUAGGAGGCGAGCGUUAUCCGGAGUUACUGGGUGUAAAGCGCGUGCAGGCGGUCAUGUUAAGUGGUGCGUGAAAGCGCCCGGCUCAACCGGGCGAGGCCGUGCCAAACUGCGUGCCUGGAGGCAGGUAGAGGCGCGUGGAAUUCCCGGGUGUAGUGGUGAAAUGCCGUAGGAUAUCCGGAGGAACACCAGUGGCGAAGCCGGCGCGCUGGGCCUGACCUGACGCUAAGACGCGAAAGCAUGGGGAGCGAACGGGAUUAGAAACCCCGGUAGUCCAUGCUGUAAACGCUGCAGACUAGGUGUUGCGUGCGACGAGUAUGCAGUGCCGAAGCCAACGUGAUAAGUCUGCCACCUGGGGACUACGGCCGCAAGGUUAAAACUCAAAGGAAUUGACGGGGGCCCGCACAAGCAACGGAGCGUGUGGUUUAAUUCGAGGCUACACGAAGAACCUUACCUGGGCUUGACAUGGCGGUGGUAGGGAACCGAAAGGGGACCGACCUUCGGGAGCCGUCACAGGUGCUGCAUGGCUGUCGUCAGCUCGUGUCGUGAGAUGUUCGGUUAAGUCCGGUAACGAGCGCAACCCUCGCCGCUAGUUACAAGUGUCUAGCGGGACUGCCCGUUGAACGCGGGAGGAAGGUGGGGAUGACGUCAAGUCAGCAUGGCCUUUAUGUCCAGGGCUACACACACGCUACAAUGGCCGGUACAAUGGGUCGCCAACCCGCGAGGGGGAGCCAAUCCAUCAAAGCCGGUCUCAGUUCGGAUUGCAGGCUGCAACCCGCCUGCAUGAAGUCGGAGUUGCUAGUAACCGCAGGUCAGCUAUACUGCGGUGAUACGUUCCCGGGCCUUGUACACACCGCCCGUCACGUCAUGGGAGCUGGUCAUGCCUGAAGUCGGUGGGC
rnacentral:rRNA from 1 species